CCGACUCCACUUCCUCAAAGUUGGAGCUCUGUACGAGAACUGGUUCUAUCCGGUUAGCAAGGACCGAAUUCUGUUCACGAAACGAUUCUGGAUUGAAUAAUUUGAUAGAAUUUACAUAGAUACGUUUAACGUUUUUAAAGGAAGGUCUUUUGGUGAAUAAAAGAAAGAUGGCGCUUGGUAAAAGCAGGUUUAUUCGGUGGCGUCGGUGGGGCUUCGUCUCGACUGGUUCUCUCGUGUGUGGGCCUUUGAAGUGGAACUACGGUGGAAAACCUGGAAAACGUCUUUUCUUCGACCAACGUCUGGAUGGUUUGGAGCUUUUCUACAGUCCUGCUCUUUCAGUUCUGGAUCACCGUCAGACUUCCUCCAUCUUGCUGCUGUUUUGCUUUAGCUGGGUGUGUCUCGUGAUUAAAGACAUACUCUUCUUGAAGAGAACCUUUGCUGUUCCCGCUGAACCGGACUAAAACGUCAACUCAACUGUUCUUUGCUGAAUAUAUUUUGGGAUCAUAAAAUCUCAGUGGAGGAAACUGAAGAUGUGGAGGACGAUGUUUUUCCUGCUGGCAGCUUUUCUCUGCUUCUCUACAGUAAACGGAUCGUCUCUCAGAAUACCUGACUACUGGACUUGUUACAAAUCAACUGACCCAGCCGCCCUGAAUGCCUCGCUGCUGUACGACGAUCAUUCAGCCAGCGGGGAGCUCUGGAAACGAGACGACCUACAGAAACCUCUCCCCCCUUGCUCUGAUAUCAUAGAUGCUUUGUUCAAUGGCCCAUGUGAGGUCUGCAGAGGCGAGCAGGUCUUUGCUGUUUGUCGAAACCUGUCUGAAAGUGUGGAUCUGCGGAUGGAGGGUUCAUCAAACAUCCAGAUUUCCAGAUGUGUCUCAGUGCAGACACUCUUCCACUAGACCACUGAGCAGGAAGUAGAAGAGCAGAUCCCCCUCCCCUCAAAGAAAGAACAGUCAGACAGGAAGUGAACAAACUGAGGCUUCCAACAGGAAAACCUGAUGAGACACAAAGAGUCACUUGAACAUAAAGUAACAGAAACUUUCUGCUUGGCAGCAAAGCUUUGACACUAAAGACCUUUAAGGCAAAGCGGUGUGACGCCGUUCUCAUGAAGGAAUUCUGGUUUAGAUACCAGAAGCUGCUCCUCCAAGACAAACCAGCAGUAACUGACAUUUUACUCUUUAACAUGAAGAACGGGACUCCAACUGUUUGUUUUGUUGUUUUUUGCAGAGUGUGAUCAGCUGAUCCAGAAAGCUGAAACUCCAACCGCUGCUCCGACUGCUGCUCCGACUGCUGAUCCGACUACUGCUUUGACUGCUGUCUCCAUCAUCAUCAUCAUUUCUUUAAUAGUUGGCUUAGCAGUUUACUUCAAAAACUGCAGGAAAAGACGAUCAGAAAACAAACAAGACCCAGAAGCUGCUGCCAUGAAACCUCUGAACGGUGGACAGCCCACAGAUGUGAUGACAGUGGAUGAAAUCCCAAAUGGACGUGGUUGAUGACUACUGUUUGAGGGAUCUGUUGGGUUUCACACUUCACACCUCUUAAAAGUCUUUGAGUGUUAUUUUCCCCCCGUUAAAUUAAAAAACACCUUUGACUCUCUGUCGUGUUCGACAGCUCAGAAAAAGCUCCUCCUUUAUAGAGAUUAAAUUUGUACUCAAAGUGAAAAGAAUUUGUUUGGUGGUGAGCAACCCAUUAGGUCAAUCAAAGACUGAGUGAACACGUCUAAAGAUUCACUCCAAACAAAAACCUGCUUUGUGUUUUUAACAUGUUCUUGUAGCUUUUUUCUCAUGAUGGACAACAUAAAUAAAGAGAAUAAAGAUAUGAACUGCA